CAUUGUGCGCUCUGGAAAGAAUUACUCUUUACAAGUUACGCACCAGGCAGGCGGGCCAGAGGCGGGGAGCCCUCAAAGCACCGGCUCGGAGCGGGUCGAACGCUAUGCACACUUUUCAUUCUUGAGAACCCCAAGGAACAAAAUGUUAUUGGCAUCCUCUCCAGCAACAAAGAACAGCUGCAUCUGUUUGGGACAUUUCCCAGGCCGCUUCUUCCUCCAUGUGUGAAGGAUACCGUUGAUCUGUCGACCCAGCCCUGAAGAGGGAGCUUGGAUUCUCACCAGCCUCCUUUGCCAGCACUCGUGCAGCUGCUGGGUAUGCCAGAAACAGAGGAUAAAGAUGGAAAGACAAGAACUACUGGGGCCAUUUUGCUGCUAGGAUGAAAAGAGCUCAAGGAGGAAGCCAAUGCGAAGAGAAGUGUGCAGCUAAGUGGAUCCCAGUCUGAGGUCUGGAGAAGGAGGUCCCGAAGAGAGGAGGAGAUUCAUUGCUUGAGGUCGCACAGAGCUCGAGGCAGAGUUGGGAAGAAAACUCUGUACCUACCAUGUCACCCAGGUCACUUUGCCGAUUAACCACUGGCCACGGCACUGAAGCUCCCAUGUUCCCUCACUUCCCUCCAGAGGGCAGAUGCCAUCAUUAUUGCCGUUUUUCCAGAAUGAGGGAAGAGCUGUACCAAAGAGCUUAAGUCACGUAUUCUCGGACUGUGUGUGGGAUGAUUGAAGAUCUUUCAGCAGACACUUCGGUGUGACCUGCGAAGAAGCAGCGGUGUCCCCCGAGCCCCCCUUCCCAGUCUUGCUGGCUGGGCCUGCCGUCAGAGUUCAGUUCUGUCUGCCUGGAAGCUAUCUUCUCAUGCGAGGUGCUCGCCGGAGUGCUUGAGGAUGGAGCAGGGCCAGGCCAAGCUUGCGAAACAGAUUUAAGGCGAGGGUUUUGUGCCUGCUUGGCGAUAGUGCUGCUUGUUUAGCAGAAUUUGAUCUCAGACUUGCUGCCAUGGUAACGGGCACCUGUCAGCGAGCUUGUCCAGGGCUGCUUUACCUCUGAUCGCCAGAGAUUGCUAUUGUCUCCCAGAAGCCCUGACAAUUGCCUAACUAUCCCACAGCCGAGGGCAGCUUGAAACUGCCCCAGGUCUAGGGCUGCUAGGUGGCAGUGCUCACAUAAAAGGUAUUAGCACGGCACACUGCCACUCUGUCAGAGGAGGUGCACCCAGGCCAGCAGGGUCCUGGCGAGGAGGCAGGGCUUUUGGGCAAAGGGCAGAACUAGAGACAGUAGUUGUUUUAAGAGGAGAGAUUCCUUCGAGUCAGGAAAGGGGGUGAUGGCAUGAAGGCCUAGAAUUAGGUGCCUCUAAUUCUAGAGGUGGAGGGAGGAGAAGCUUCUGCCUGGUGGCUCACGUUUCCUUGGUGAAGCGGAGAUCCAGGACUCGGGUUGAAGUAAAGGGGGUGGGAUUGGUAGAGGGCUUAAGUUCAGCGGCGACUGGACAAAGUGCCUUUUGUUUGCCCCGUUCACAGUCGUCUGGGAAGCAGGGCUAUCCAGGACCAGGAGGGUAGAGCUUCUCUGAAGAGAAGCCUAGGAGGCUGAGCAUAGAUGGCCCUAGGGUCUAGGUAGAGCAUUUGUCCCGACCCCUGGCACCUAUUAAGAUGUCCAGGUCAUUCAAUAGGAGGCCAAGGAUCCCUGCCCGUCCUUCUCAUGAUCAGUGAGAAGAAGGACAAAGCACAGGCUGAGGGACCAAGUAGCCAGAGACACUUGCUCAGCAGGGCUCAGCGAGUCUGGAAGGGGAAGAUGACGGGGCAUUUUCCUGUCUCUUCCGAAAGUGCAUGGGAGUUUUGGAUGCGCAUCUUGAAUUUUAAGACUCCCUGAGGUCAAAGAGGAGGACAGUCAGUUCUGGAGGAGAUGAAACGGCUUUGCCUUUUGUUUCUCUGCAAGAGCUGAUGAAUAAUUCAAGGCAAUGGUGAGGAAGUGGGCUCUGUAGGACAGGCCAGCUUGGAGCAGGUUCAUCCUGGUGGGUUGCCGUGGGACUGAGCUCUGUCUCCAUCUUGUAUGCUCCUCAGCCUCCCUGGCCCUGAGCCCACAUGGCUCCCGUGGAGCCGUGCUCCUUUUCAGCCAAGGGGAUGAAUGUCUGCUACAGAAAGGCCCUGGAAGAACUGCAAAACUCAGGCAGAGACAAGCAGGCGUGAAGAGGCCAGCUGCCUUCCUCUCAGGCAUUUGCUUUGUACUGCGAGGACCAAUGAGGGGCACUGCUAAGGGACGGGGAGAGGCGAGAAAGUGGGUUGGCUGGCUGGGGAAUCCCACAGGCCUGCUGGACCCUGUGUGGCCACGGGCUUCUUUCUCUACUCAGCUGGAGACAGUCUGUCCGAGACGGACAAAAUGCACCUUUUAAGUAGCCCUUCCCCCAGGACUCACCUUUGAUCUCCAUUUGCUGGUUCCCAUUUAAAGGCGUAGAUGUCAAGAGCCCUCCAAUGCAGCAGAUGCCCACCUCCAGCUGGAACUGAAUUUACACACCAGUAAAUCAGGGAGUUAAUAAUCAAACUGUCUGGAUUUUGCCUUCAAAUUCGGCCAUCAGUGUAUUCUUAUUGUAUCCUGUAACACCUAAAAAUACCUUUGAGGCACUUUAAGUACACAAAACACCACACUGCUUGUCUUUGUAAGAGUGGCCGUGCAAAGGUCCUGGCACCAACGCCUGAUCACCCAACGCAAGAGCCGGCUGCCGCCUUCCUCACCGCGUGGAAGACUUGAAGACUUGCCUAGGCAGCCACACGUGAAGGAAGAGAAAAGGGUGUCCGUGCAAAAUAAUGGCAUUUCUGGGUAUCAUGUUUUCUUUAUGUAGGUAUUCAGCUCUAUGAAAGUGUGUUUAGCGACUCAGUCAUAAACGAAUUUGAGAACUUUUGGCAGUCAAACCAAGGUCUUGUAUGGGACAAGGGAAUGGAUGUUGUUCUCAGGAAACCCCUCAUCAGUCUUCAGCAAUGUUCCCCAAAAUACAGAGGAAGGGAACCCCUGUGUGGGUGCAAAUUCUCCUCCAGGACUCAACCUCCUGACUUAGAGGCAGUCCCUGCAGUCAGCAUGGUCUGACACCUUUUUGGUCCCCCAGGAAAAAUUAGACAUCUUCAUUUGAACAGAAGUCCUCACUGUUUUGUAAAGUAGUGCUCCCCUCUCCAAAUAAAAACAUGGACCUGAGAGUAAA